rnacentral:rRNA from 1 species
UAGGGAAUAUUGCUUAAUGGGCGAAAGCCUGAAGCAGCAACGCCGCGUGUGUGAAGAAGGCCUUCGGGUUGUAAAACACUUUUUGAGGGGAUGAGGAAGGACAGUACCCUCAGAAUAAGCCUCGGCUAACUACGUGCCAGCAGCCGCGGUAAAACGUAGGAGGCGAGCGUUAUCCGGAUUUACUGGGCGUAAAGCGCGUGCAGGCGGCACGGCAAGUUGUAUGUGAAAGCUCCCGGCUUAACUGGGAGAGGUCGUUCAAAACUGC